AAUGUGCAGCUUUAGCUGGUUGAAUCCGGGUCAAAUUGUAAAUGCUAUUUGGUCCCCUUCAACCAGCUGUGGUUGACAUUGCGA
rnacentral:pre_miRNA from 15 species